AAGUCGGAGUCGCUAGUAAUCGCAGAUCAGCAACGCUGCGGUGAAUACGUUCCCGGGCCUUGUACACACCGCCCGUCACGUCAUGAAAGUUGGUAACACCCGAAAACCAUGGCCAACCUUUUUUGGAGGGAGUGGUUGAAGGUGGGAUUGGCGAUUGGGACGAAGUCGUAACAAGGUAAC
rnacentral:rRNA from 1 species